rnacentral:rRNA from 1 species
AUCAUUACCGAGUGAAGGGUCUGCCCGCGUCAAACCCGGGCGGCCCGACCUCCCAACCCUGUGUCUAUCUUACCUUGUCGUUGCUUCGGCGGACCGGUUGACCAACUGGUCUUGACCGCCGGGGGUCUUCAUCCGCCCCUGGAGAGCGUCCGCCGAUGGCCUCUUAACAAAACUCUUGUACCGAAACGUGUCGUCUGAAUAUACUUGAUCAUGAAUCAAAAACAAAACUUUCAACAACGGAACUCUUGGUUCUG